ACAGUGGACGCGAGCAUCUGUGGCCAAGUUUUUAAGGGCGCACGGUGGAUGCUUGGCACCAGGAACCGAUGAAGGACGUGGGAGGCCACGAUAGUCCCCCCCGGGGAGUCGUCAACCAGACUUUGAUCCGGGGGUUUCCGAAUGGGGGAAACCCGGCAGUCGUCAUGGGCUGUCACCCGCUGCUGAACACAUAGGCAGUGUGGAGGGAACGAGGGGGAAGUGAAACAUCUCAGUACCCUCAGGAAGAGAAAACAACCGUGAUUCCGGGAGUAGUGGCGAGCGAAACUGGAUCAGGCCAAACCGUAUGCGUGUGAUACCCGGCAGGGGUUGCGCAUGCGGGGGGGUUGUGGGAUCUCUCUUUCACAGUCUGCCGGCUGUGAGACGAGUCAGAAACCGUUGAUGUAGGCGAAGGACAUGCGAAAGGUCCGGCGUAGAGGGUAAGACCCCCCCGUAGCUGAAACAUCAGCGGCUUGUUUGAGAGACACCCAAGUAGCACGGGGGCCCGAGAAAUCCCGUGUGAAUCUGGCGGGACCACCCGUUAAGCCUAAAUAUUCCCUGGUGACCGAUAGCGGAUAGUACCGUGAGGGAAUGGUGAAAAGUACCGCGGGAGCGGAGUGAAAUAGUACCUGAAACCGUGUGCCUACAAGCCGUGGGAGCGUCGC
rnacentral:rRNA from 1 species